rnacentral:sRNA from 1 species
AUAUCUCUCUGUACGGGAAGGAUGAGAAGCUUCGACUAAGGUUCGAUUCGAGCGAAAGCGAGAAAGCGUUGCCGCAGGCA